rnacentral:tRNA from 1 species
UUAAAAAUAAGCUAAAAUUAAGCUUUUGGGUUCAUACCCCAAAUAUAAAAGUAAACCUUUUUUUUUAAA